CACAGGUGUUGUGAAAACUACCCCUAAAAGCCAAAAUGGGAAAGGAAAAGACUCAUAUCAACAUUGUCAUCGUUGGACACGUAGAUUUGGGCAAGUUCACCACUACUCGCCAUCUAAUCUACAAAUGCAGUGGCAUCGACAAACAAACCAUUGAAAAAUUGGAGAAGGAGCCAGCUGAGAUGGGAAAGGACUCCUUCAAGUAUGCCUGGGUCUUAGAUAAACUGAAAGCUGAGCGUCAACUUGGUAUCCUCAUUGAUAUCUCCCUGUGGAAAUUCAAGACCAGCAAGUACUACAUGACUGUCAUUGAUGCCCCAGGAUACAGAGACUUCAUCAAAAACAUGAUUAGAGAGACAUCUCAGGCUGACUGCGCUGUCCUGAUUGCUGCUGCUGGUGUUGGUGAAUUUGAAGAUGGUAUCUCCAAGAAUGGGCAGACCCGAGAGCACGCCCUUCUGGCUUACACACUGGGUGUGAAACAACUAAUUGCUGGUGUUAACAAAAUGGAGUCCACUGAGCCACCCGACAGCCAGAAGAGAUAUGAGGAAAUUGUUAAGGAAGUGAGCACUUACAUUAAGAAAAUCGGCUACAACCCCGACACAGUAGCAUUUUGCCAAUUUGUGCUUGGAAUGGUGACAACAUACUGGAGCACAGUGCUAACAUGCCUUGGUUCAAGGGUUGAAAGGUCACCCGUAAGGAUGGCAAUGCCAGUGGAACCCGCUGCUUGAGGCUCUGGACUGCAUCCUACCACCAACUCGCCCAACUGACAAUCCCUUGCACCUGCCUCCACCAACUCACCCAGCUGAUAAGCCCUUGCACCUGCCUCUCCAGGAUGUCUAUAAAAUUAGUGGUAUCAGUACUGUUCCUGUUGGCCGAGUGGAGACUGGUGUUCUCAAACCCGGUAUGGUGGUCACCUUUGCUCCAGUCAACAUUAUAACUGGAGUAAAAUCUGUUGAAAUGCACAAUGAAGCUUUGAGUGAAGCUCUUCCUGGGGACAAUGUGGGCGUCAAUGUCAAGAAUGUGUCUGUCAAGGAUGUUCGUUGUGACAGCAAGAACGACCCACCAAUGGAAGCAGCUGGCUUCACUGCUCAGGUGAUUAUCCUGAACCAUCCAGGCCAAAUCAGUGCUGCCUAUGCCCCUGUACUGGAUUGCCACACGGCUCACAUUGCAUGCAAGUUUGCUGAGCUGAAGGAAAAGACUGAUCGCUGAUCUGGUAAAAAGCUGGAAGAUGGCCCUAAUUUCUUGAAGUCUGCUGAUGCUGCCGUCAUUGAUAUGGUUCCUGGCAAGCCCAAUGUGUGUAGAGAGCUUCUCAGACUAUUUACCUGUGGGUCGCUUUGCUGUUCAUGAUAUGAGACAGACAGUUGCGGUGGGUGUCAUCGAAGCAGUGGACGAGAAGGCUGCUAGAGCUGGCAAGAUCACCAAGUCUGCCCAGAAAACUCAGAAGGCUAAAUGAAUAUUAUCCCUAAUACCUGCCACCCCAGUCUUAAUCAGUGGUGGAGGAAGAACAAUCUCAGAACUAUUUGUUUCAAUUGGUCAUUUAAGUUUAGUAGUAAAAGACAGGUUAAUGAUAACAAUGCAUCAUAAAACCCUCAGACAGAAAGGAGAAUGUUUUGUGGACCACUUUGGUGUUCUCUUCUGCAUGUGGCAGUUUUAAGUUGUUAGUUUUUAAAAUCAGUACUUUUUAAUGGAAACAACUUGACCAAAAAU